CUGACGUCUCGGUUCCCGCAG
rnacentral:miRNA from 1 species